AGAUGUUCCUUAAUACUUGAGACAUUCAUUUAGUUAUAUAUAUAUAACAACAUUUGUAAUCUAGUAUUAAAACAUUUAACAUAAGUAUAUAUGCAAUUAUCUGUAAAUAUUAUAAAAAUUAUGCCACAAAAAUAUACACAUAUACGAGGUAGAUAGAACAAAGAAAGGAGAACAGUCUGCUUUGAAUGAUAGUACUGCAAAACUGGUGACAAUAAUACUGCUAUGGCUGAUCAGUCAUGGACAGUGGUAUGCUUUAUAUGUCCCUGGUGACUGUUUACAAGAGACACCUGUACAAUAUCUUCAGGAUGAACACAUAUGCAAAACUGAGUGGAAUCUCAUGUUCAUGUGUAAGCAGAGGAAUUUUUUCCAAAAAAAUUUUGAAUAAGGGGGGUUGGCUUAUACAUGGAGCAACAAAAAUUGGAAAAUUUUUUGAAAAUUGUAAGAUUUACCAGCUCAGUUG
rnacentral:lncRNA from 1 species